rnacentral:rRNA from 1 species
UACGAAGGGGGCUAGCGUUGCUCGGAAUCACUGGGCGUAAAGGGUGCGUAGGCGGGUCUUUAAGUCUGGUGUGAAAUCCUGGAGCUCAACUCCAGAACUGCCUUUGAUACUGAAGAUCUUGAGUCCGGGAGAGGUGAGUGGAACUGCGAGUGUAGAGGUGAAAUUCGUAGAUAUUCGCAAGAACACCAGUGGCGAAGGCGGCUCACUGGCCCGGUACUGACGCUGAGGCACGAAAGCGUGGGGAGCAAACAGG